GCCCUCGUAGCUCAAUGGAUAGAGCGCUUGCUUGCGGAGCAAUAGGUUUGGCGUUCGACUCGCCACGGGGGCACCA
rnacentral:tRNA from 1 species